UACAGAGGUGGCAAGCGUUGUUCGGAAUUACUGGGCGUAAAGGGCGCGUAGGCGGUCUUCUAAGUCCUGUGUGAAAUCCCUCGGCUCAACUGAGGAACUGCACGGGAUACUGGAUGACUUGAGUUCGGGAGAGGGAAGCGGAAUUCCUGGUGUAGCGGUGAAAUGCGCAGAUAUCAGGAAGAACACCCGUGGCGAAGGCGGCUCUCUGGGACGGUACUGACGCUGAGACGCGAAAGCGUGGGGAGCGAACAGG
rnacentral:rRNA from 1 species